GAUGAACGCUAGCGGCAGGCUUAAUACAUGCAAGUCGAGGGGCAGCAUGAUUGUAGCAAUACAAUUGAUGGCGACCGGCAAACGGGUGCGGAACACGUACACAACCUUCCAACAAGUGGGGGAUAGCCCAGAGAAAUUUGGAUUAAUACCCCGUAACAUAGCGAUGUGGCAUCACAUUGCUAUUAUAGAUUUUUCGCUUGUUGAUGGGUGUGCGGCUGAUUAGGUAGUUGGCGGGGUAACGGCCCACCAAGCCUACGAUCAGUAGCUGAUGUAAGAGCAGAAUCAGCAAGACGGGCACUGAGACAAGGCCCCGACUCCUACGGGAGGCAGCAGUAAGGAAUAUUGGAUAAUGGACGCAAGUCUGAUCCAGCCAUGCGGCGUGAAGGAUUAAGGUCCUCUGGAUUGUAAACUUCUUUUAUAAGGGACGAAAAAAGGCUUUUCUAAGUCGUCUGACGGUACCUUAUGAAUAAGCACCGGCUAACUCCGUGCCAGCAGCCGCCGUAACAC
rnacentral:rRNA from 1 species